rnacentral:lncRNA from 1 species
CCUGCUUCCACUUUCAUUCUCAACCAAAACCACCGCUCUGAAUUAAUGCUCAUAUCUCAGCUACAAUGUCCUCCUCUCCUCUCCCCUCCCAGCGCAGCCACAUUCUGCCUGGAAACUCCAUCAUUGUAGCUGCUGUUGAAGGAUCUCUGAGCUAGUUAUCUACCUGCAUGCAUGCUGGUGCUAACACACAAUCUAGGAGUUUCUUUUUUUCUUUCUCGUCCAAGUGCUGAUACCCUGAGUUCCAUGGAAGGAUAGAAUCAGUUUUAAGAAUUUACAAGAGAGAUUUGGAAGUGAUCUUGGACUUGGUUUGUUGUUACAGUGAAUUCUGUUCUAGCAAAGAUCCUUAUUUCAUAAUCAAUCC